CGGUACAACGAGUCGCAAGCUCGCGAGAGUAAGCUAAUCUCUUAAAGCCGUUCUCAGUUCGGACUGUAGGCUGCAACUCGCCUACACGAAGUCGGAAUCGCUAGUAAUCGCGGAUCAGCAUGCCGCGGUGAAUACGUUCCCGGGCCUUGUACACACCGCCCGUCACACCACGAGAGUUUACAACACCCGAAGUCAGUGGCCUAACCGCAAGGAGGGAGCUGCCUAAGGUGGGGUAGAUGAUUGGGGUGAAGUCGUAACAAGGUAAC
rnacentral:rRNA from 1 species